GCAGUGGGGAAUAUUGGACAAUGGGCGAAAGCCUGAUCCAGCCAUGCCGCGUGUGUGAAGAAGGUCUUCGGAUUGUAAAGCACUUUAAGUUGGGAGGAAGGGCAGUAACCUAAUACGUUAUUGUUUUGACGUUACCGACAGAAUAAGCACCGGCUAACUCUGUGCCAGCAGCCGCGGUAAUACAGAGGGUGCAAGCGUUAAUCGGAAUUACUGGGCGUAAAGCGCGCGUAGGUGGUUUGUUAAGUUGAAUGUGAAAUCCCCGGGCUCAACCUGGGAACUGCAUCCAAAACUGGCAAGCUAGAGUAGGGCAGAGGGUGGUGGAAUUUCCUGUGUAGCGGUGAAAUGCGUAGAUAUAGGAAGGAACACCAGUGGCGAAGGCGACCACCUGGGCUCAUACUGACACUGAGGUGCGAAAGCGUGGGGAGCAAACAGGAUUAGA
rnacentral:rRNA from 1 species